rnacentral:rRNA from 1 species
GGCUCAGUAACACGUGGAUAACCUACCCUUGAGACGGGGAUAAACCCGGGAAACUGGGUAUAAUACCCGAUAGAUCUCGACUGCUGGAAUGCAUCGAGCUUGAAAGCUCCGGCGCUCAAGGAUGGGUCUGCGGCCUAUCAGGUAGUAGUGGGUGUAGCGUACCUACUAGCCUACGACGGGUACGGGUUGUGAGAGCAAGAGCCCGGAGAUGGAUUCUGAGACACGAAUCCAGGCCCUACGGGGUGCAGCAGGCGCGAAAACUUUACAAUGCUGGAAACAGCGAUAAGGGGACCUCGAGUGCCAGGUUACAAAUCUGGCUGUCGUGAUGCCUAAAAAGCAUUGCAUAGCAAGGGCCGGGCAAGACCGGUGCCAGCCGCCGCGGUAACACCGGCGGCUCGAGUGGUAACCGUUAUUAUUGGGUCUAAAGGGUCUGUAGCCGGCCGGAUAAGUCUCUUGGGAAAUCUGGCAGCUUAACUGUCAGGCUUUCAGGAGAUACUGUCUGGCUCGAGGCCGGGAGAGGUGAGAGGUACUUCAGGGGUAGGGGUGAAAUCUUGUAAUCCUUGAAGGACCACCAGUGGCGAAGGCGUCUCACCAGAACGGACCUGACGGC